AGAUUUGCUUGUAUAGUGGCAAGCAGGAUAAUAAUAAAGAAACACUAUAUUAAGA
rnacentral:ncRNA from 1 species